GGACCGAGAUGUCUGUAGCUGUUGGGGCCGUUAAGCCUUAUUAUGGCAGCUUAAGCGUGAAGUUGACCGCCUGGGGAGUACGGUCGCAAGAUUAAAACUCACAGGAAUUGACGGGGACCCCCACAAGCGGUGGAUGAUGUGGAUUAAUUCUAUGCAACGCGAAAAAACUUACCUACCCUUGACAUGUCUGGAAAGCCGAAGAAAUUUGGCCGUGCUCGCUAGAGAACCGGAACACAGGUGCUGCAUGGCUGUCGUCAGCUCGUGUCGUGAGAUGUUGGGUUAAGUCCCGCAACGAGCGCAACCCUUGUCAUUAGUUGCUACGCAAGAGCACUCUAAUGAGACUGCCGGUGACAAACCGGAGGAAGGUGGGGAUGACGUCAAGUCCUCAUGGCCCUUAUGGGUAGGGCUUCACACGUCAUACAAUGGUCGGGACAGAGGGUCGCCAACCCGCGAGGGGGAGCCAAUCUCAAAAACCCGAUCGUAUUCCGGAUCGCAGUCUGCAACUCGACUGCGUGAAGUCGGAAUCGCUAGUAAUCGCGGAUCAGAAUGUCGCGGUGAAUACGUUCCCGGGUCUUGUACACACCGCCCGUCACACCAUGGGAGUGGGUUUCACCAGAAGUAGGUAGCCUAACCGCAAGGAGGGCGCUUACCACGGUGGGAUUCAUGACUGGGGUGAAGUCGUACCGGGAACCAAAAACAAAA
rnacentral:rRNA from 1 species